rnacentral:rRNA from 1 species
GGGGGGACGCAGUAGGAUAGGCGAAGCGUGCUAUUGGAUUGCACGUCCAAGCAGUAAGACUGAGUGUUAGGCAAAUCCGGCACUCAUAAGGUCAAGCUGUGAUGGGGAGAGGAAAUUGUUUCCUCGAGUCGUUGAUUUCACACUGCCAAGAAAAGCCUCUAGAUAGAUAACAGGUGCCCGUACCGCAAACCGACACAGGUAGUCAAGAUGAGAAUUCUAAGGUGAGCGAGCGAACUCUCGUUAAGGAACUCGGCAAAAUGACCCCGUAACUUCGGGAGAAGGGGUGCUCUUUAGGGUUAACGCCCAGAAGAGCCGCAGUGAAUAGGCCCAAGCGACUGUUUAUCAAAAACACAGGUCUCUGCUAAACCGUAAGGUGAUGUAUAGGGGCUGACGCCUGCCCGGUGCUGGAAGGUUAAGAGGAGUAGUUAGCUUCUGCGAAGCUACGAAUCGAAGCCCCAGUAAACGGCGGCCGUAACUAUAACGGUCCUAAGGUAGCGAAAUUCCUUGUCGGGUAAGUUCCGACCCGCACGAAAGGCGUAACGAUUUGGGCACUGUCUCAACGAGAGACUCGGUGAAAUCAUAGUACCUGUGAAGAUGCAGGUUACCCGCGACAGGACGGAAAGACCCCGUGGAGCUUUACUGUAGCCUGAUAUUGAAAUUCGGCACAGCUUGUACAGGAUAGGUAGGAGCCUUUGAAACGUGAGCGCUAGCUUACGUGGAGGCAUUGGUGGGAUACUACCCUAGCUGUGUUGGCUUUCUAACCCGCACCACUUAUCGUGGUGGGAGACAGUGUCAGGUGGGCAGUUUGACUGGGGCGGUCGCCUCCUAAAAGGUAACGGAGGCGCUCAAAGGUUCCCUCAGAAUGGUUGGAAAUCAUUCAUAGAGUGUAAAGGCAUAAGGGAGCUUGACUGCGAGACUUACAAGUCGAGCAGGGUCGAAAGACGGACUUAGUGAUCCGGUGGUUCCGCAUGGAAGGGCCAUCGCUCAACGGAUAAAAGCUACCCCGGGGAUAACAGGCUUAUCUCCCCCAAGAGUUCACAUCGACGGGGAGGUUUGGCACCUCGAUGUCGGCUCAUCGCAUCCUGGGGCUGUAGUCGGUCCCAAGGGUUGGGCUGUUCGCCCAUUAAAGCGGUACGCGAGCUGGGUUCAGAACGUCGUGAGACAGUUCGGUCCCUAUCCGUCGUGGGCGUAGGAAAUUUGAGAGGAGCUGUCCUUAGUACGAGAGGACCGGGAUGGACAUACCUCUGGUGUACCAGUUGUCGUGCCAACGGCAUAGCUGGGUAGCUAUGUAUGGACGGGAUAAGUGCUGAAAGCAUCUAAGCAUGAAGCCCCCCUCAAGAUGAGAUUUCCCAACUUCGGUUAUAAGAUCCCUCAAAGAUGAUGAGGUUAAUAGGUUCGAGGUGGAAGCGUGGUGACACGUGGAGCUGACGAAUACUAAUCGAUCGAAGACUUAAUCAAAAUU